UGGGGAAUUUUGGACAAUGGGCGAAAGCCUGAUCCAGCAAUGCCGCGUGUGUGAAGAAGGCCUUCGGGUUGUAAAGCACUUUUGUCCGGAAAGAAAUCCUCUGGGUUAAUACCUCGGGGGGAUGACGGUACCGGAAGAAUAAGCACCGGCUAACUACGUGCCAGCAGCCGCGGUAAUACGUAGGGUGCAAGCGUUAAUCGGAAUUACUGGGCGUAAAGCGUGCGCAGGCGGUUUUGUAAGACGGAUGUGAAAUCCCCGGGCUUAACCUGGGAACUGCAUUCGUGACUGCAAGGCUAGAGUAUGGCAGAGGGGGGUAGAAUUCCACGUGUAGCAGUGAAAUGCGUAGAGAUGUGGAGGAAUACCGAUGGCGAAGGCAGCCCCCUGGGCCAAUACUGACGCUCAUGCACGAAAGCGUGGGGAGCAAACAGGAUUAGAUACCCUGGUAGUCCACGCCCUAAAACGAUGUCAACUAGUUGUUGGGGAUUCAUUUCCUUAGUAACGUGAGCUAACGCGUGAAGUUGACCGCCUGGGGAGUACGGUCG
rnacentral:rRNA from 1 species